GAGGGUAUAGCUCAAUUGGUAGAGUGCAUGCUUAGCAUGCACAAGGUUUUGGGUUCAAUCCCCAGUACCUCUG
rnacentral:tRNA from 1 species